UUCGGGAAACCGGAGCUAAUACCGGAUAAUAUAAAAGAUCACAUGGUCUUUUAUUGAAAGAUGGCUUCGGCUAUCACUUAUAGAUGGGCCCGCGGCGCAUUAGCUAGUUGGUGAGGUAAUGGCUCACCAAGGCGACGAUGCGUAGCCGACCUGAGAGGGUGAUCGGCCACACUGGGACUGAGACACGGCCCAGACUCCUACGGGAGGCAGCAGUAGGGAAUCUUCCGCAAUGGACGAAAGUCUGACGGAGCAACGCCGCGUGAGCGAUGAAGGCCUUCGGGUCGUAAAGCUCUGUUGUUAGGGAAGAACAAGUAUCGUUCGAAUAGGGCGGUACCUUGACGGUACCUAACCAGAAAGCCACGGCUAACUACGUG
rnacentral:rRNA from 1 species